rnacentral:rRNA from 1 species
CUACGUAGGGUGCAAGCGUUAAUCGGAAUUACUGGGCGUAAAGCGUGCGCAGGCGGUUUUGUAAGACAGAGGUGAAAUCCCCGGGCUCAACCUGGGAACUGCCAUUGUGACUGUAAGGCUUGAGUGCGGGAGAGGGGGGUGGAAUUCCGCGUGUAGCAGUGAAAUGCGUAGAUAUGCGGAGGAACACCGAUGGCGAAGGCAAUCCCCGGGGCAUGCACUGACGCGCAUGCACGAAAGCGUGGGGGGCAAACAGGAUUAGAUACCCUGGUAGUCCACGCCCUAAACGAUGUCAACUGGUUGUUGGGGAUUUAUUUUCUCAGUAACGAAGCUAACGCGUGAAGUUGACCGCCUGGGGAGUACGGCCGCAAGGUUAAAACUCAAAGGAAUUGACGGGG